GCCUCUGCACCGGCCCGGCCUCCGGCUCCGCCAGGCUGCCGCCGCGGAGGGGCCCCGGCCCGGCCCGGCCCGGCGCGGGGGGCGGCGGGGUGCUGCGCACAGCCCUGCGGGGCCGGCCGCCUUCGCCCCCGCUCGAGCCGCGCUCUCCAGAAAGUGCCCGGGACCGACCCGUCUGUGCGAGCGAGGAACGGCACUGCCGUGCUAACCGCCACUCCUCGAGGCUGGCGAUAAAACAGGGGCCAGGUGGUAGUGAACGGACUCGGCUGAGGCUGCGCGAGGGACGCGGGCAGGAGCCCGACGUCCACGUUCGCUAACCCGGUGAACCUUCACGGAGAAGCGGCCGAGGCUGCUGGCCCAUGACCCCGCCGUCACCUUCCCUGCAGUGACUUGGGGAGCGGUGACUGGUGCGGGGUGGAGAUGGAAACGCCCCAGUUAUUUCCAGCCUGCCAGGAAGAUACGAAACCGAGAGAAGCUGUUGUGGUGUCACCCGUCGGACUGAAGCCGUUGUGUCUUGGAAGGAUCUUGGGUCUCAGGUUGCCUAGUCUGAUUUCUAAACCAGACCAACCUGGGUCGCUGUAGCUGCAGACUCCCUCCUGGGCUUCCAGUGCCGCUGGGGCACCGUGUGCCACGUCGCCGACCGCCCGGCUCCCCGGCAUCCGCUGCGUUGCGCCGGCUCGCCGCCACCGCCUUCGCUGUUCACCGCUGCCCGCAGCUGGGCGCUUGAGGCCAAGCUAAAAGCACAAGCCGUGACGACCGCUGUGCCUGGGCUUGAGCUGCUGACAGCCUAGGCUGCGCUUCUUUGAGCUGUGGUUAAUCCGAUGAUUCAAAAUCAAACCAACUGUUGUUGACGCGGUAUUUGUAAAGCACCUAAGUUACCGUGCUGUGCAUGUACAAACUGUCUCAGCAGGAGAUACUUCCUCAAAUUUUCCACAUAUUUUCCUCACACUAACUGCUGAAUAACAGCUAUUUAUAAGAGAGACGUUGAAUGCUGAAUAACAGUGUGUGCAGGUGUUCUUGGUUUUUUCACUAACUUCUUCCACUCCAAAUUCUUACAAUGGCCCCUUGUUGCACCCUCUUCUGUCCUGUCCCUGCGACUCUCUUGCUCCCCUCAGUCCCUCCUCGCCGCUCUCGGUGGCGGCGUGGAUGAAGCAGAGCAGCUCUGAGGCUGCGCUGAGCUACUCUUGGGGAGCAGAGUGGCAAGUGGUCUAACAUCCCCUGGUGAUUUAAACAGAGCCGGAUGGUCAGCAGUUGAAGAAGCCAUCUGGCCUCGAUGCCUUUCCGGUGGCCGGAGGACACCUGGUAUGGAGAACUGCUGAUGUUCCUUGUAAUGCGGUUAAAAAUGUGUCAUCAGCAGGGGGAAUUGCAGGUUUCGGUGUUGUCGCUGUUCCUCGGGGACUUUUAUGGAUGGACAGGAGUCCUGUCAAGCACCAGAAAGCAGCAAUGGCCUUUUGUCUGUUACGAUUAGUGCUUUAAGGAAAAUUCCUGGCCAGUUAUUUUGGGAGCCUAAAUUAGAUCUGAAUGGUCACUGUAAACCUGGCAUCAUUUGUGUUGGCUUUUACCUGCAUAACUAAGCUGUUCCUCAGUCUGGUAACACUCUGCCAAGAUAAACCACGGGCAGGUAGCAGCUCACGGCUCUGGCGCGCUGCUUCGUGAUUUAGAGGCAGAAAGGGAACAGAGGGCGUUCGGGGCUGCGUUGGCUUUGGCGGAGGGGAGCACAAGUUCAGGGACCGAGUGCGUAAUUUGCACAGGGGUGGAAGGGCUGCUAGGAAACAUGGCAGGGCUCCCCUGUUAUUUCCAGCAUUGUCGACAAUGAGUAGUAGUUGACAAUGAUUGUAAAAGAAACAUUGUUACAGAGAUGUACCAGAGAUGGGAGGAAAGAGCAGCCGUUCAUCUUCACAUUUCUUAUUUUUCUGUAGGUGGCAGAUGCACUUGUUCCUGGGCUUAUCUGGAUUAGGCCACUGUCAACUUUCAAAUGCUCCGCACCUUCACUUUUGUUUUCGGCAGCAUUCAUCUGAUACCUACUAACGCAUGUAAAGCAGGAAGAUGCACUAUAAAAGAAAUCUCACUGAAAUGAACAGCAUCAUAAACCAGGGAAUAUAUCACCUAUGUGAAACACUGCAACAGACUUCAAAACGAGACACCCACGUACCUUUGUAUCCUGAGAAACAGCGUACUCUAUCAGCUCAGCUCCAUCUGCAGACUGGUAAACGAGAUCAAAUUUCCCUGGUUCUUUAGCCACUUAAAAGUAAAAAAAAAAAAAAAAAAGAAAAAAAAAA